CGCACGGGUGAGUAAUAUAUAGGUAACGUGCCCUAGAGAGGGGGAUAACAUUUGGAAACGAAUGCUAAUACCCCAUAUGCCUUUAAGUCUUAAGACUGCAAGGGAAAUAUUUAUAGCUCUAGGAUCGGCCUGUACGGUACCAGUUUGUUGGUGAGGUAAUGGCUCACCAAGACUAUGACGCCUAACUGGUUUGAGAGGAUGAUCAGUCACACUGGAACUGAGACACGGUCCAG
rnacentral:rRNA from 1 species